CCAGUAAACGGCGGCCGUAACUAUAACGGUCCUAAGGUAGCGAAAUUCCUUGUCGGGUAAGUUCCGACCCGCACGAAAGGCGUAACGAUUUGGGCACUGUCUCAACGAGAGACUCGGUGAAAUCAUAGUACCUGUGAAGAUGCAGGUUACCCGCGACAGGACGGAAAGACCCCGUGGAGCUUUACUGUAGCCUGAUAUUGAAAUUCGGCACAGCUUGUACAGGAUAGGUAGGAGCCUUUGAAACGUGAGCGCUAGCUUACGUGGAGGCGUUGGUGGGAUACUACCCUAGCUGUGUUGGCUUUCUAACCCGCACCACUUAUCGUGGUGGGAGACAGUGUCAGGCGGGCAGUUUGACUGGGGCGGUCGCCUCCUAAAAGGUAACGGAGGCGCUCAAAGGUUCCCUCAGAAUGGUUGGAAAUCAUUCAUAGAGUGUAAAGGCAUAAGGGAGCUUGACUGCGAGACCUACAAGUCGAGCAGGGUCGAAAGACGGACUUAGUGAUCCGGUGGUUCCGCAUGGAAGGGCCAUCGCUCAACGGAUAAAAGCUACCCCGGGGAUAACAGGCUUAUCUCCCCCAAGAGUUCACAUCGACGGGGAGGUUUGGCACCUCGAUGUCGGCUCAUCGCAUCCUGGGGCUGUAGUCGGUCCCAAGGGUUGGGCUGUUCGCCCAUUAAAGCGGUACGCGAGCUGGGUUCAGAACGUCGUGAGACAGUUCGGUCCCUAUCCGUCGUGGGCGUAGGAAAUUUGAGAGGAGCUGUCCUUAGUACGAGAGGACCGGGAUGGACAUACCUCUGGUGUACCAGUUGUCGUGCCAACGGCAUAGCUGGGUAGCUAUGUAUGGACGGGAUAAGUGCUGAAAGCAUCUAAGCAUGAAGCCCCCCUCAAGAUGAGAUUUCCCAACUUCGGUUAUAAGAUCCCUCGAAGAUGACGAGGUUAAUAGGUUCGAGGUGGAAGCGUGGUGACACGUGGAGCUGACGAAUACUAAUCGAUCGAAGACUUAAUCAAUUU
rnacentral:rRNA from 1 species